rnacentral:ncRNA from 1 species
AACGCUCCGGAGAGUCCGUUAUUUCUUUUUUAUGGCACCGAAGGUGUAAACCGAGCAAAAGCCCGGCGUAUCUCUCAGGUAAAAAGAACGGAAG